UACGGGGGGGGCAAGCGUUGUUCGGAAUUACUGGGCGUAAAGGGCUCGUAGGCGGCCAACUAAGUCAGACGUGAAAUCCCUCGGCUUAACCGGGGAACUGCAUCUGAUACUGGAUGGCUUGAGAUUGGGAGAGGGAUGCGGAAUUCCAGGUGUAGCGGUGAAAUGCGUAGAUAUCUGGAGGAACACCGGUGGCGAAGGCGGCAUCCUGGACCAACACGUGACGCUGAGGAGCGAAAGCCAGGGGAGCAAACGGG
rnacentral:rRNA from 1 species